GAUGAACGCUGGCGGCGUGCCUAAUACAUGCAAGUCGAGCGAACGGACGAGAAGCUUGCUUCUCUGAUGUUAGCGGCGGACGGGUGAGUAACACGUGGAUAACCUACCUAUAAGACUGGGAUAACUUCGGGAAACCGGAGCUAAUACCGGAUGAUAUUUUGAACCGCAUGGUUCAAAAGUGAAAGACGGUCUUGCUGUCACUUAUAGAUGGAUCCGCGCUGCAUUAGCUAGUUGGUAAGGUAACGGCUUACCAAGGCAACGAUGCAUAGCCGACCUGAGAGGGUGAUCGGCCACUCUGGAACUGAGACACGGUCCAGACUCCUACGGGAGGCAGCAGUAGGGAAUCUUCCGCAAUGGGCGAAAGCCUGACGGAGCAACGCCGCGUGAGUGAUGAAGGUCUUCGGAUCGUAAAACUCUGUUAUUAGGGAAGAACAUGUGUGUAAGUAACUGUGCACAUCUUGACGGUACCUAAUCAGAAAGCCACGGCUAACUACGUG
rnacentral:rRNA from 1 species